rnacentral:rRNA from 1 species
AGAGUUUGAUCAUGGCUCAGAUUAAACGCUGGCGGCAUGCCUUACACAUGCAAGUCGAACGGCAGCACGGGGGCAACCCUGGUGGCGAGUGGCGGACGGGUGAGUAAUGCAUCGGAACGUGCCCUGAAGUGGGGGAUAACGCAGCGAAAGCUACGCUAAUACCGCAUAUUCUGUGAGCAGGAAAGCAGGGGAUCGCAAGACCUUGCGCUUUGGGAGCGGCCGAUGUCGGAUUAGCUAGUUGGUGGGGUAAAGGCCUACCAAGGCGACGAUCCGUAGCGGGUCUGAGAGGAUGAUCCGCCACACUGGGACUGAGACACGGCCCAGACUCCUACGGGAGGCAGCAGUGGGGAAUUUUGGACAAUGGGCGGAAGCCUGAUCCAGCCAUGCCGCGUGAGUGAAGAAGGCCUUCGGGUUGUAAAGCUCUUUCGGCGGGGAAGAAAUUGCUUGGGUUAAUACCCUGAGUAGAUGACGGUACCCGAAUAAGAAGCACCGGCUAACUACGUG